AUUGAACGCUGGCGGCAGGCCUAACACAUGCAAGUCGAGCGGAGCGGCGAACGGGUGAGUAACGCGUGAGUAACUGCCCCCCUCUCUGGGAUAACAGUUGGAAACGGCUGCUAAUACCGGAUAGUGGGGGAUGAAUCGCGUCCUAUCGGCUUGUUGGUGGGGUAGUGGCCUACCACGGCGACGCCGGGUAGCCGGCCUGAGAGGGCGACCGGCCACAGUGGGCUUAAAGACGGCGCAAACUCCUACGGGAGGCAGCAGGGGGGAAUAUUGCACAAUGGGGGAAACCCUGAUGCAGCAACGCGCGUGCGGGAUGACGGCCUUCGGGUUGUAAACCGCUUUCAGCCAUGACGCGGUAGUGGCAGAAGAAGCACCGGCUAACUACGUGCCAGCAGCCGCGGUAAUUC
rnacentral:rRNA from 1 species